rnacentral:rRNA from 1 species
GAUGAACGCUGGCGGCGUGCCUAAUACAUGCAAGUAGAACGCUGAAGCUUGGUGCUUGCACCGAGCGGAUGAGUUGCGAACGGGUGAGUAACGCGUAGGUAACCUGCCUGGUAGCGGGGGAUAACUAUUGGAAACGAUAGCUAAUACCGCAUAACAGUAGAUGUUGCAUGACAUUUGCUUGAAAGGGGCAAUUGCUCCACUACCAGAUGGACCUGCGUUGUAUUAGCUAGUUGGUGAGGUAACGGCUCACCAAGGCGACGAUACAUAGCCGACCUGAGAGGGUGAUCGGCCACACUGGGACUGAGACACGGCCCAGACUCCUACGGGAGGCAGCAGUAGGGAAUCUUCGGCAAUGGACGGAAGUCUGACCGAGCAACGCCGCGUGAGUGAAGAAGGUUUUCGGAUCGUAAAGCUCUGUUGUAAGAGAAGAACGAGUGUGAGAGUGGAAAGUUCACACUGUGACGGAACUACCAGA